UACAGAGGGUGCUAGCGUUGUUCGGAAUCAUUGGGCGUAAAGGGCGUGUAGGCGGCCCGGUAAGUCCGCUGUGAAAGUCAAAGGCUCAACCUUUGAAUGUCAGCGGAUACUGCCGGGCUAGAGUCCGGAAGAGGCGAGUGGAACUCCUGGUGUAGCGGCGGAAUGCGCAGAUAUCAGGAAGAACACCAACGGCGAAGGCAGCUCGCUGGGACGGAACUGACGCUGAGGCGCGAAAGCGUGGGGAGCGAACAGG
rnacentral:rRNA from 1 species